rnacentral:rRNA from 1 species
AACGAACGCUGGCGGCAUGCCUAACACAUGCAAGUCGAACGAGACCUCAGGAUCUAGUUGCUCACGGGUGCGUCGCGCGUCGGACCCUUCCCUAAUAUUCCGAAUAAUUCUCCGAAGGGGGUGCUAAUACCGGAUAAUGUCUUCGGAUAAAAGAUAUAUCGCCUUUGUAUGGGCCCGCGUUGGUUUAGCAUGUUGGUAGUGUAAAAGCCUACGAAGGCUAGGCUCGAUAGCUGGUCUGAGAGAAAGAUCAGCCACACUGGGACUGAGACACGGCGCAGACUGCUACGGGAGGCAGCAGUGGGGAAUAUUGGACAAUGGGCGGAAGCAUGAUCCAGUAAUGCCGCGAGAGUGAUGAAGGUCUUAGGGAUGUAAAGCUCUUUUACCCGGGAUGGUAAUGACAGUACCGGGAGAAUAAGCACCGGCUAACUUCGUG